GACGAACGCUGGCGGCGUGCUUAACACAUGCAAGUCGAACGGAAAGGCCCUGCUUUUGUGGGGUGCUCGAGUGGCGAAAGGGUGAGUAACACGUGAGUAACCUGCCCUUGACUUUGGGAUAACUUCAGGAAGCUGGGGCUAAUACCGGAUAGGAGCUCCUGCUGCAUGGUGGGGGUUGGAAAGUUUCGGCGGUUGGGGAUGGACUCGCGGCUUAUCAGCUUGUUGGUGGGGUAGUGGCGUACCAAGGCUUUGACGGGUAGCCGGCCUGAGAGGGUGACCGGCCACAUUGGGACUGAGAUACGGCCCAGACUCCUACGGGAGGCAGCAGUGGGGAAUAUUGCACAAUGGGCGGAAGCCUGAUGCAGCAACGCCGCGUGCGGGAUGACGGCCUUCGGGUUGUAAACCGCUUUCGCCUGUGACGAAGCGUGAGUGACGGUACUGGGUAAAGAAGCACCGGCUAACUACGUG
rnacentral:rRNA from 1 species